rnacentral:rRNA from 1 species
GGGUUGUGAGGUUAAGCGACUAAGCGUACACGGGUGGAUGCCUGGCAGUCAGAGGCGAUGAAGGACGUGCUAAUCUGCGAAAAGCGUCGGUAAGGUGAUAUGAACCGUUAUACCGGGCGAUGUCGAAUGGGGAAACCAGUGCAAUUCGUUGCACUAUCGUUAACUGAAUACAUAGGUUAACGAGGCGAACCGGGGAACUGAAACAUCUAAGUACCCCGAGGAAAAAGAAAUCAACCGAGAUUCCCCCAGUAGCGGCGAGCGAACGGGGAGCAGCCCAGAGUCUGAAUCAGCUUGUGUGUUAGUGGAACGGUCUGGAAAGUCCGACGGUACAGGGUGAUAGUCCCGUACACCAAAAUGCACAGGCUGUGAACUCGAAGAGUAGGGCGGGACACGUGGUAUCCUGUCUGAAUAUGGGGGGACCAUCCUCCAAGGCUAAAUACUCCUGACUGACCGAUAGUGAACCAGUACCGUGAGGGAAAGGCGAAAAGAACCCCGGCGAGGGGAGUGAAAAAGAACCUGAAACCGUGUACGUACAAGCAGUGGGAGCACCUUCGGGUGUGACUGCGUACCUUUUGUAUAAUGGGUCAGCGACUUAUAUUCUGUAGCAAGGUUAACCGUAUAGGGGAGCCGCAGGGAAACCGAGUCUUAACUGGGCGUUAAGUUGCAGGGUAUAGACCCGAAACCCGGUGAUCUAGCCAUGGGCAGGUUGAAGGUUGGGUAACACUAACUGGAGGACCGAACCGACUAAUGUUGAAAAAUUAGCGGAUGACUUGUGGCUGGGGGUGAAAGGCCAAUCAAACCGGGAGAUAGCUGGUUCUCCCCGAAAGCUAUUUAGGUAGCGCCUCGUGAACUCAUCUUCGGGGGUAGAGCACUGUUUCGGCUAGGGGGUCAUCCCGACUUACCAACCCGAUGCAAACUACGAAUACCGAAGAAUGUUAUCACGGGAGACACACGGCGGGUGCUAACGUCCGUCGUGAAGAGGGAAACAACCCAGACCGCCAGCUAAGGUCCCAAAGUCAUGGUUAAGUGGGAAACGAUGUGGGAAGGCACAGACAGCCAGGAUGUUGGCUUAGAAGCAGCCAUCAUUUAAAGAAAGCGUAAUAGCUCACUGGUCGAGUCGGCCUGCGCGGAAGAUGUAACGGGGCUAAACCAUGCACCGAAGCUGCGGCAGCGACACUAUGUGUUGUUGGGUAGGGGAGCGUUCUGUAAGCCUGCGAAGGUGUGCUGUGAGGCAUGCUGGAGGUAUCAGAAGUGCGAAUGCUGACAUAAGUAACGAUAAAGCGGGUGAAAAGCCCGCUCGCCGGAAGACCAAGGGUUCCUGUCCAACGUUAAUCGGGGCAGGGUGAGUCGACCCCUAAGGCGAGGCCGAAAGGCGUAGUCGAUGGGAAACAGGUUAAUAUUCCUGUACUUGGUGUUACUGCGAAGGGGGGACGGAGAAGGCUAUGUUAGCCGGGCGACGGUUGUCCCGGUUUAAGCAUGUAGGCUGAUUGUCCAGGCAAAUCCGGAUAAUCAAGGCUGAGGUGUGAUGACGAGGCACUACGGUGCUGAAGUAACAAAUGCCCUGCUUCCAGGAAAAGCCUCUAAGCAUCAGGUAACAUCAAAUCGUACCCCAAACCGACACAGGUGGUCAGGUAGAGAAUACCAAGGCGCUUGAGAGAACUCGGGUGAAGGAACUAGGCAAAAUGGUGCCGUAACUUCGGGAGAAGGCACGCUGGUGUGUAGGUGAAGUCCCUGCGGAUGGAGCUGAGACCAGUCGAAGAUACCAGCUGGCUGCAACUGUUUAUUAAAAACACAGCACUGUGCAAACACGAAAGUGGACGUAUACGGUGUGACGCCUGCCCGGUGCCGGAAGGUUAAUUGAUGGGGUUAUCCGUAAGGAGAAGCUCUUGAUCGAAGCCCCGGUAAACGGCGGCCGUAACUAUAACGGUCCUAAGGUAGCGAAAUUCCUUGUCGGGUAAGUUCCGACCUGCACGAAUGGCGUAAUGAUGGCCAGGCUGUCUCCACCCGAGACUCAGUGAAAUUGAACUCGCUGUGAAGAUGCAGUGUACCCGCGGCAAGACGGAAAGACCCCGUGAACCUUUACUAUAGCUUGACACUGAACAUUGAGCCUUGAUGUGUAGGAUAGGUGGGAGGCUUUGAAGCGUGGACGCCAGUCUGCGUGGAGCCAACCUUGAAAUACCACCCUUUAAUGUUUGAUGUUCUAACGUUGGCCCCUGACCGGGGUUGCGGACAGUGUCUGGUGGGUAGUUUGACUGGGGCGGUCUCCUCCCAAAGCGUAACGGAGGAGCACGAAGGUUAGCUAAUCCUGGUCGGACAUCAGGAGGUUAGUGCAAUGGCAUAAGCUAGCUUGACUGCGAGCGUGACGGCGCGAGCAGGUGCGAAAGCAGGUCAUAGUGAUCCGGUGGUUCUGAAUGGAAGGGCCAUCGCUCAACGGAUAAAAGGUACUCCGGGGAUAACAGGCUGAUACCGCCCAAGAGUUCAUAUCGACGGCGGUGUUUGGCACCUCGAUGUCGGCUCAUCACAUCCUGGGGCUGAAGUAGGUCCCAAGGGUAUGGCUGUUCGCCAUUUAAAGUGGUACGCGAGCUGGGUUUAGAACGUCGUGAGACAGUUCGGUCCCUAUCUGCCGUGGGCGCUGGAGAAUUGAGGGGGCUGCUCCUAGUACGAGAGGACCGGAGUGGACGCAUCACUGGUGUUCGGGUUGUCAUGCCAAUGGCACUGCCCGGUAGCUAAAUGCGGAAGAGAUAAGUGCUGAAAGCAUCUAAGCACGAAACUUGCCCCGAGAUGAGUUCUCCCUGAGACUUUAAGUCUCCUGAAGGAACGUUAAAGACGAUGACGUUGAUAGGCCGGGUGUGUAAGCGCAGCGAUGCGUUGAGCUAACCGGUACUAAUGAACCGUGAGGCUUAACCUUACAACGCCGAAG